rnacentral:tRNA from 1 species
GGUAAAAUGGCUGAGAAUAGGCGAUAGAUUGUAAAUUUAUUUACGAAAUAGAUAUUUCUUUUACCA